rnacentral:rRNA from 1 species
AAUAGAUACCCUGGUAGUCCACGCCGUAAACGAUGAGUGCUAAGUGUUAGGGGGUUUCCGCCCCGUUAGUGCUGCAGCUAACGCAUUAAGCACUCCGCCUGGGGAGUACGGUCGCAAGACUGAAACUCAAAGGAAUUGACGGGGGCCCGCACAAGCGGUGGAGCAUGUGGUUUAAUUCGAAGCAACGCGAAGAACCUUACCAGGUCUUGACAUCCCAUUGACCACUAUGGAGACAUAGUUUUCCCUUCGGGGACAACGGUGACAGGUGGUGCAUGGUUGUCGUCAGCUCGUGUCGUGAGAUGUUGGGUUAAGUCCCGCAACGAGCGCAACCCUUGUUCUUAGUUGCCAUCAUUUAGUUGGGCACUCUAAGGAGACUGCCGGUGACAAACCGGAGGAAGGUGGGGAUGACGUCAAAUCAUCAUGCCCCUUAUGACCAGGGCUACACACGUGCUACAAUGGACGGUACAAACGGUUGCCAACCCGCGAGGGGGAGCUAAUCCGAUAAAACCGUUCUCAGUUCGGAUUGUAGGCUGCAACUCGCCUACA